CAGGACUUAGUUUAUAGAAAAUACUUUAUUUACAUUAAAGUGAUUUAAAUGCGAAAUUUUAAGUUUUGA
rnacentral:tRNA from 1 species